GAUGAACGCUGGCGGCGUGCCUAAUACAUGCAAGUCGAGCGAACAGACGAGGAGCUUGCUCCUCUGACGUUAGCGGCGGACGGGUGAGUAACACGUGGAUAACCUACCUAUAAGACUGGGAUAACUUCGGGAAACCGGAGCUAAUACCGGAUAAUAUAUUGAACCGCAUGGUUCAAUAGUGAAAGACGGUUUUGCUGUCACUUAUAGAUGGAUCCGCGCCGCAUUAGCUAGUUGGUAAGGUAACGGCUUACCAAGGCAACGAUGCGUAGCCGACCUGAGAGGGUGAUCGGCCACACUGGAACUGAGACACGGUCCAGACUCCUACGGGAGGCAGCAGUAGGGAAUCUUCCGCAAUGGGCGAAAGCCUGACGGAGAAACGCCGCGUGAGUGAUGAAGGUCUUCGGACCGUAAAACUCUGUUAUUAGGGAAGAACAAAUGUGUAAGUAACUAUGCACGUCUUGACGGUACCUAAUCAGAAAGCCACGGAUAACUACGUG
rnacentral:rRNA from 1 species